GAAACCUGAUCUGAAAAACACAGCUGGGAGCACUCCCUUCGAAAGGACACCUUUCCCCCUCUGGCCUUGAGGCCCAUCCUUUGUGCAGCCACUGAACCCCUUGUCAGGAGUCACGAAACACAAGCUCCAUUCCUUCCUUUAGCUUAGAGAAAAUGAAUAUUCAUUUUCCCAUCUCGAGGUGCAGUGUGGAGGGUGACAAGGGCUCAUUUCAGCUCUUCUGGAUACAACUGCUCUAGUGUGGAGGAGAGCCUUCAAACUGCAUGGUGCUGGAGAGAGCAGACACGAAUUGUGGAUGUUGACAUUGAGACAGAAACAAGACUUUAUUGGGAAUGCCAGUGGUUCAAAGAUGAAAAGGCCUCAAGAGGCUUUUUGUUAUCAAAUUCCACUUACCCUCCCCGUUGUAACUUUCAUCAGAGCUGAAGGGAUGCUGCCAAAAUCUGACUUCACUUCAGAAAGUGCCAGGAUACGCUGCUGGAGUUGCAACAGAAGAAAGACAGUUGGAAGGAGACAAACAUUCAGGUUAUGGCCUGGGAGAAGGGAAGAGGCUGGAGGAGAAAGAAAAUGGUUUUGUGUUGCUUCCCAAACCUUCUCCAAAGUUGCUAGGCAGGUGGGGGAGAUGGGGCCAGCCCCAUCUGGUCCACUUUUUCCAACAAUCUCUUUUCACAUCACUUUUCCUGCCAUGUGGGAAAAUGGGAAAAAUUCCCAACAAAUCACUGCAAAGUCUGCCCUGUGUUUCCUGGCAGCUCCCUCCUCUUCUUCAAAGUAGCCAAGAACCUACAGCCCAACAGCAGCUGAGCAGGUAGUACCAUUCUCCCUGCAUCUUGGAGGUGGACAACACUCACUUUGCUUUGCCCCAUUUUUACCCCAGUGAUUAUGUGAAGAAAUUUUCAGAACAAAGGACCAUUCUUUGCAUUUGUUUGACAAGUGUGCAGAGCAGUGAGAAUCCUCAAAUCCAUAUUCGUCCGUGGCCACAAUAAUGAGGCUAAUAAUAUCUGCAUGACCAUCAUACAAGCCAACAGAUACAGGACGGACAAGAAGGCUUUGUUACCUCCUCCUUCUUGAGUACUGAGAGCAGACCCUUCAGAAUAUCUGGUUUUCCAGGUGCAGAUGCUCACCAUUAUCUCAAAGAUCAGCUGACUUUCUGAUCUCCACUUAGGUUUUGCCCAAAAGGAGCAUCCCAGCUUACUAAUCAUUUCAGGAAAUUGUACCUUAUUGUGUUGGUUCAUCAGUUUUCCCUGAUUGUGCAAUGGAAAUAAAACUGCUUACUCCACCAUGAUUUCUCAAAAAUACUUUCAGUGUCUCCAGCAAAAGCUAUUUGUGUACAAAGCAUUAUUAAUAUUGUGAAAUGAUGAAAAAUCAACAUGUG
rnacentral:lncRNA from 1 species